rnacentral:lncRNA from 1 species
UUGGGGGUUCCAGACCAGCAUCAAAGUACUUUUUUUUUAAGCAGUGCACAAAGCGUAAAAACUUUUUUCAAGUAUUUUACAUUCAAUUAAGAGGCAACUCCCUCAGGCACUUGCCUCAGAAAAAAAUUCCUGUAUACCUUAAUACAUUGUAUAACACAGUGUUAUAUUAAGGUAUAUACGAAUUUGAUUUUCCGAGACAAGUUGCUAGUGGCAACUACUUAAAAAUCAGAAUUUUUUUUCACUGUG